rnacentral:rRNA from 1 species
GAUGAACGCUGGCGGCGUGCCUAAUACAUGCAAGUCGAGCGAACAGACGAGGAGCUUGCUCCUCUGACGUUAGCGGCGGACGGGUGAGUAACACGUGGAUAACCUACCUAUAAGACUGGGAUAACUUCGGGAAACCGGAGCUAAUACCGGAUAAUAUAUUGAACCGCAUGGUUCAAUAGUGAAAGACGGUUUUGCUGUCACUUAUAGAUGGAUCCGCGCCGCAUUAGAUAGUUGGUAAGGUAACGGCUUACCAAGGCAACGAUGCGUAGCCGACCUGAGAGAGGGAUCGGCGACACUGGAACUGAGACACGGACCAGACUCCUACGGGAGGCAGCAGUAGGGAAUCUUCGGCAAUGGGCGAAAGCCUGACGCAUCGACGCCGCGUGAGUGAUGAAGGUCUUCGGAUCGUAAAACUCGGUUAUUAGGGAAGAACAAAUGUGUAAGUAACUAUGCACGUCUUGACGGUACCUAGUCAGAAAGCCACGGCUAACUACGUG